rnacentral:rRNA from 1 species
UAGAGUUUGAUCCUGGCUCAGAACGAACGCUGGCGGCAGGCCUAACACAUGCAAGUCGAACGACAUAGUGGCAGACGGGUGAGUAACGCGUGGGAACGUACCUUUCGCUACGGAAUAGCUCUUGGAAACGAGUGGUAAUACCGUAUACGCCCUCCGGGGGAAAGAUUUAUCGGCGAAAGAUCGGCCCGCGUUAGAUUAGGUAGUUGGUGGGGUAAUGGCCUACCAAGCCUACGAUCUAUAGCUGGUCUGAGAGGAUGAUCAGCCACACUGGGACUGAGACACGGCCCAGACUCCUACGGGAGGCAGCAGUGGGGAAUCUUGCACAAUGGGCGAAAGCCUGAUGCAGCCAUGCCGCGUGAAUGAUGAAGGCCUUAGGGUUGUAAAAUUCUUUCGCCAGGGAUGAUAAUGACAGUACCUGGUAAAGAAGCCCCGGCUAACUUCGUGCCAGCAGCCGCGGUAAUACGAAGGGGGCUAGCGUUGUUCGGAAUUACUGGGCGUAAAGCGCACGUAGGCGGACUUUUAAGUCAGAUGUGAAAUCCCGGGGCUCAACCUCGGAACUGCAUUUGAAACUGGAAGUCUGGAGUUCAGGAGAGGUUAGCGGAAUACCGAGUGUAGAGGUGAAAUUCGUAGAUAUUCGGUGGAACACCAGUGGCGAAGGCGGCUAACUGGACUGAUACUGACGCUGAGGUGCGAAAGUGUGGGGAGCAAACAGGAUUAGAUACCCUGGUAGUCCACACCGUAAACGAUGACAGCUAGUUGUUGGCAGGCAUGCCUGUCGGUGA